CCUACGGGGGGCUGCAGUGGGGAAUAUUGCGCAAUGGACGCAACUCUGACCCAGCAACGCCGCGUGAGCGAUGAAGGUCUUCGGAUUGUAAAGCUCUGUCGCAGGGGACGAAGUAUGACGGUACCCUGUAAGAAAGCCCCGGCAAACUACGGGCCAGCAGCCGCGGUAAUACGUGGGCGGCUAGCGUUGUCCGGAAUUACUGGGCGGAAAGUGCGUGUAGACGGCUUGUCAAGUUAAGUGUGAAAGCCUGCGGCUUAACCGCAGAAUUGCACUUAAAACUGACUAGCUUGAGUGCAGGAGAGGAUAGUGGAAUUCCUAGUGUAGCGGUGGAAUGCGUAGAGAUUAGGAGGAACACCAGAGGCGAAGGCGGCUCACUGGACUGUAACUGACGUUGAGGCUCGAAAGCGUGGGGAGCAAACAGGAUUAGAUACCCUAGUAGUC
rnacentral:rRNA from 1 species